rnacentral:rRNA from 1 species
AUUGAACGCUGGCGGCAGGCCUAACACAUGCAAGUCGAACGGUAACAGGAAGAAGCUUGCUUCUUUGCUGACGAGUGGCGGACGGGUGAGUAAUGUCUGGGAAACUGCCUGAUGGAGGGGGAUAACUACUGGAAACGGUAGCUAAUACCGCAUAACGUCGCAAGGCCAAAAAGGGGGACCUUCGGGCCUCUUGCCAUCGGAUGUGCCCAGAUGGGAUUAGCUAGUAGGUGGGGUAACGGCUCACCUAGGCGACGAUCCCUAGCUGGUCUGAGAGGAUGACCAGCCACACUGGAACUGAGACACGGUCCAGACUCCUACGGGAGGCAGCAGUGGGGAAUAUUGCACAAAGGGCGCAAGCCUGAUGCAGCCAUGCCGCGUGUAUGAAGAAGGCCUUCGGGUUGUAAAGUACUUUCAGCGGGGAGGAAGGGAGUAAAGUUAAUACCUUUGCUCAUUGACGUUACCCGCAGAAGAAGCACCGGCUAACUCCGUG